rnacentral:lncRNA from 1 species
AGAGUGGCAAUGCACUUCAUCUCUAUCAGCCUGAGUUUAGGGACAUCAGAGCCUCUACAAUUAACUUUUUUUUUUUUCUAUUUAAAUAGCUUGUAUAUGUCAUUGAUUAAGGUAACCAAGUGGAUUUUGUUCAAUCAAAAUUCUGCAAGAAAUUUGUCUUUGGUACAGCACCAUUGCUUUGGCUGGGUGGAAAGGAACAACUGGCUGAAACCCAGCAGACUGCCAGCUCUCCAAAUACAGUUGUAAAAUCAGAAAUAAUGUCCAAACGUCUAUUUCUAGGAGCUUCUCCGAGCAUUCGUUUUUUGUCCUUCUGCCGCUUAGCAUGUUUGUGAGCAGCCCAUGAUAAGGCACAGAAUCACUGUUGCUAAAGCUUGAAAUGUCACUAAGAUUGGGAGAGCGGUAAAUAAUGAAAAGGAGGGACUGCUGAUAAAAGCAAUUUGUAUUGCUCGGAUGCAGGCAGGUAGCAGCUCUCAGAUGGCCAACUGUAAAUUUCUCUAUCUAGGAGCAAACAAUACAGGCCGUACCUCCAGGAUGCUGUCUGGAGAAAUCGUGUCUUUGUGGGGAGCAGAAGAGGCAGGACGAGCAGUGCUAGCGUGAGAGCACGGCCAAAGGUCUUGUGUGCUCCUUGCUCGGGCUGCCAGCUGGCUCCCGGGGUGGAGGAGGUGGCGGUGUCCCUGUCCCCAGCACGCCAGGGACACCAAGGAGGCUCCACGGAGGGCUGCAGGAGUGCCGGGUGAGCGGGGAGUUUCCAGCGGAGUCCAGGAGCUCGAUCUGCUUCACUUACGGAGAGCAUUGGAAGCAGGCAGAGUCAUCCUCCUGGCACCCAUGGGAAGGGUUCCCAGGGCAGGUCCCAGAUGGCCCCGUCCAUCCCCACCCUCGCUGCUCCCCCAGACACAGCGGCGCUGGGUGCCCCCCAGUGUGCCAGUGCGGAGCUCUGUCGGAGAAACCCCUCGCCCUGCUGCUUCAGGGUCACGUUCACAUCUUCUGUUGGUUUUUCUGCCGUCAGUACACGUGGACGACAGGCAUCUUGCCUGCCUGGGGUGGUGCAAUGUUUAACUGCCUGAGGCUUUGUACUGAAAAACGAGAAAGGUGGGCAGUCGUGUGCCUCCUCUGAGGACCAGCUCUUCCUAAACAAACCCACGGUUAAGGAUGGGUCCAAGACAAGGACUUGAUAGGAGAAGAGAAGAAAAAUCACAAAUCUGUAUUUUUUUUUUUAAUAGUACAUCAGCAAUGUGGAGGAGCUAAGGCAGCCUGCACGUGCAACCUGUGGUUUUGAAAGAGCCCCUGUUAAAGGAAAUAUUGAGGGGUAAAAAAGCUUGCUCUGGGUUAGAAACAGAAAACAAAUAAAGCAUCAGCUUUUUACA